rnacentral:rRNA from 1 species
UACGUAGGGAGCAAGCGUUGUCCGGAAUCAUUGGGCGUAAAGCGCGCGUAGGUGGCCUCGUAAGUCCGCUGUAAAAGUCAAAGGCUCAACCUUUGAAAGCCGGUGGAUACUGCGGGGCUAGAGUACGGAAGAGGCGAGUGGAAUUCCUGGUGUAGCGGUGGAAUGCGCAGAUAUCAGGAGGAACACCAAUAGCGAAGGCAGCUCGCUGGGACGUUACUGACACUGAGGCGCGAAAGCGUGGGGAGCGAACAGG